rnacentral:misc_RNA from 1 species
AUCUAAAGUAUAUCAGCAUUAUGAGAAUAAAAUAAAAUAAACGGUCCGUGGGGCAUAACAAUAUCACACCAUCGAUGCUUGAAUGAAUAUAUUUAUAAUGGGCUGGUAACAUUGCCCUGAAGAAGUACUAUUAAUUUAAGGGAAAAAUAUGUACAUAUACAUGGGAAAGAUAAUGGAGAAAGUUCUAAAUUAAUAUAACAUAAAGAAAAUCUUAGUUGCAGAGAUGAGAAUGUUAAGUGGAUGAGUGACCAUACUAAACUAAA